ACUGUCACUUGGGCUGUCACUGUCACCGGGAUUGUCACCACUGCUAGGUUUGUCACCGUUACUGGGAUUGUCACUGUCACCGUCACUGGGAUUGUCACCUUGCUGAGUUUGUCACCAUUACCGCUGUCACCAUCACCGGGGCUGUCACCGUCACUGGGAUUGUCACUGUCACCAGGAUUGUCACCGCUGCUAGGUUUGUCACCGUCACUGGGUUUGUCACACUGCUGGGUUUGUCACCGUUCCUGCCAUCACCGGGAUUGUCACCGUUCCUGGGAUUGUCGCUGUCACCGGGAUUGUCACCACUGCUAGGUUUGUCACCGUUACCGGGAUUGUCACUUUGCUGAGUUUGUCACCAUUACCGCUGUCACCGUCACCAGGAUUGUCACCGUUCCUGGGUUUGUCACCGUCACCGCUGUCACCGUCACUGGGGCUGUCACUGUCACCGGGAUUGUCACCGUUCCUGGGAUUGUCACCAUCACCGUUGUCACCGUCACUGUCACCGUUGCUGGGAUUGUCACCAUCACUGGGAUUGUCGCCAUCACUGGGUUUGUCACCUUGCUGGGUUUGUCACCAUUACCGGUGUCACGGUCACUGGGGCUGUCACCGUUCCUGGGAUUGUCACCGUCACUGGGGCUGUCACUGUCACGGGGAUUGUCACCACUGCUAGGUUUGUCACCGUCACUGGGAUUGUCACCAUCGCUGGGUUUGUCACCUUGCUGAGUUUGUCACCAUUACCACUGUCACCGUCACUGGGGCUGUCACCGUCACCGGGAUUGUCACCAUUCCUGGGAUUGCCGCUGUCACCGGGAUUGUCACUGUCACCACUGUCACCAUCACUGGGGCUGUCACUGUUGCUGGGAUUGUCACCGCUGCUAGGUUUGUCACCGUCACCAGGAUUGUCACUGUUCCUGGGAUUGUCACUGUUGCUAGGUUUUUCACUGGGAUUGUCACACUACUGGGUUUGUCACCAUUACCGCUGUCACCAUCACUGGGGCUGUCACCAUCACUGGGGCUGUCACCAUCACUGGGAUUGUCACUGUCACCAUCACUGGGAUUGUCACUGUCACUGGGAUUGUCACCAUUACUGGGAUUGUCACACUGCUGGGUUUGUCACCGUCACCGCUGUCACCGUCACUGGGGCUGUCACCAUUCCUGGGAUUGUCACUGUCACCAUCACUGGGUUUGUCACCUUGCUGAGUUUGUCACCAUUACCGCUGUCACCGUCACCAGGAUUGUCACCGUUCCUGGGAUUGUCGCUGUCACCAGGAUUGUCACCGCUGCUGGGUUUGUCACCAUCACUGGGUUUGUCACAUUGCUGGGUUUGUCACCAUUACCGCUGUCACCGUCACCGGGAUUGUCACCGUUCCUGGGAUUGUCACCGUUACCAUUACUGGGAUCGUCACCGUUAUCACUGUCACCAUUACUGGGACUGUCACCAUUACUGGGAUCGUCACCGUUAUCACUGUCACCGUUACUGGGAUUGUCACCAUUACUGGGACUGUCACCAUUAUCACCUUCACCGUCACUGGGAUUGUCACCAUUAUUGUGUCACCAUUACUGAGGCUGUCACCGUUACCACCAUCACCAUUACUGGGACUGUCACCAUUAUCACCAUCACCAUUACUGGGAUUGUCACCAUUACUGGGACCGUCCCCAUCCCCGUGCAGAGCAGCAGGAGAGGUGCGGUGAGGGUGAGUGUGAGUGUGUGCCUGUGAGUGUGAGUGUGAGUGUGGGGGGUCACGUUGGUGGUGGGUGUGCAACAGGUGUGAGCACGGCGUCGUGCAACACGGGGGGGGUGGUGGGGCAUGGGUGCAAGGCAGGGGUGCGCACAUGGUUGCUCACGUGUAGGUGCAAUGCACACUCUUGUGGA
ensembl:lncRNA